rnacentral:rRNA from 1 species
UACGUAGGGAGCAAGCGUUGUCCGGAUUUAUUGGGCGUAAAGAGCUCGUAGGCGGUUCGGUAAGUCGGGUGUGAAAACUCUGGGCUCAACCCGGAGAGGCCACUCGAUACUGCCGUGACUUGAGUCUGGUAGGGGAGCACGGAAUUCCUGGUGUAGCGGUGAAAUGCACAGAUAUCAGGAGGAACACCGGUGGCGAAGGCGGUGCUCUGGGCCUGUCCUGACGCUGAGGCGCGAAAGCUAGGGGAGCGAACAGG